GGCCACCACCCCAAGGCCACCCCGGUGUCCCCGGUGUCCCCUUACGGGCAGGGGGUCGAUGUAGAGGAUGACGAAGUGCAGGGACAUGGACAGGCAGAUGGAGCCCAUCAGCCAGAUGUUCACCCAUGGUGGCAUCCGGGCCAGCGACUGGUUCUCCGACAGGCUGGGGACAACACGAGGACAUCAAGGUCACCAUGGGGUCACCAGGGUCACCAUGGGGUCACCAGG